rnacentral:rRNA from 1 species
CCCUUAGAUGUUCUGGGCCGCACGCGUGCUACACUGAGUAAAUCAAUGGGUAAGGGAACACGAAAGUGCAACCUAAUCUUGAAAUUUGCUCGUGAUGGGGAUCGACGGUUGCAAUUUUCCGUCGUGAACGAGGAAUACCUUGUAGGCGCGUGUCAUCAUCACGCGCCGAAUACGUCCCUGCCCUUUGUACACACCGCCCGUCGCUCCUACCGAUUGAGUGAUCCGGUGAGGCUAUGGGACCUGGACGGAAAGAGCGUUUCGCUUGUUCUGUUUGGGAAACUUGGUCGAACCUUAUCAUUUAGAGGAAGGAGAAGUCGUAACA